CUUCAUCCCUCUUUUAUAGCCUCCUUCUAUAUGCAAAGUAAACUUCCUCACAGUCUCCUUUAAAGACUUGAUAUCACGCUGUCAGUCGCAGCAGAAGAGGAGAAGCUCCCAUCAGAUCAACCUCCACACCAACAUGUUCUCUGUAGCUCUACUGCUGCUGCUGGCCGCUGGAUACUGUGUGAAGUGUGAGCAGUUGACGCAGCCGGCCUCUGUGACUGUGCAGCCCGGUCAACGUCUGACCAUCACCUGUCAGGUUUCUUAUAGUAUGAGCAGCUACUACACAGCAUGGAUCAGACAGCCUGCAGGGAAAGGACUGGAAUGGAUUGGACAAAGAUCUACUGGAGCGUCAUACUACAAAGACUCACUGAAGAGCAAGUUUAGUAUCGACUUAGAUGCUUCCAGUAAAACAGUGACUCUAAACGGACAGAAUGUGCAGCCUGGAGACACGGCUGUGUAUUACUGUGCUAGAAACCCACAGUAACACAAACCAUCAGUACAGCUGAACAAAAACCUCUCAGUGCCUGAACACUUGUAACACAAAGCCACCAGAGGAGGAGUCCUCAGACCACCAAUGAUUUCACCACCAGCUCACUGAUACAUCAGUUUAAAUACCUACACGUUAC